ACAGGGACGCGGCUGUGCACCCUGGAGAUGCCAGUGUCCAGGGUGACGUCCUGCUGCUUCGGGGGGGCUGACUACUCCGACCUGUACGUGACCUCUGCAGCGGACAGCCUGAGUCCAGAGCAGCUGUUGCGGGAGCCACAGGCAGGACACGUCUUCAAGGUCAGUGGGGUCUCCCUGCCAGGGUCAGCUUGGCUCCCAGCCACGUCUUCUCAGCCAGGUGUAACGCAUCUUGACCUCAGGGACUGGAGCGGGCUUGGCAGCAUCCAUGGGGACCUCUGUCCACCUGGAAAACAGCCCUCCCGAGGCCCCACGUGCCCUGCUGUGCACAGAGACGUUUACGGGAGGUUUAGGAAGCUGGUGUGGCUGGUGCUGCGGGGAGAUUCAGCCGUGCCCAGGGACUCAUCUCCACCCUCUCCUCCUGCAGGUCACGGGCCUGGGGGUGAGGGGCCUCGCGUCCCGCCCCUUCGCUGGCUGAGGGACCCCACCGUCCAGCGCAGCUCAAGCCAGGCCUCCGUCCCUGGGGUCGGGCCAGGCUCAGCUCUGGUGGGGCGCUCCCUGCCUGACCACUGUGCACAGCUGACAAUAAAUGUGGCCACCUCAACAUCAUCUCUGCAGCUGCUGCCUCCCAGGGACUGCCCCACAUUCUGUCCAGGGUCAUCCAGCUUCGGCUUGUAAUGCCCCCAUGUGUUCUCCAAGGUCCCCACAGGUCACCUGCAGUCCCCAGAACAUGUGGCCGACACUGGUGUCUCUGAGGUUGGCCUCUCUGCCUCCACUUGGUGCUGGGUCCCUGAGAGCUGGAACCUGAGCAUGGGCUGUAGCUGUGCUGCACGUGCACAAGUCCAUCUGCUAGGGAUCAAGCUGGACAUCAGGUGCCUUCACAGCACUGGGCACCCAGCGCCUCUACUUCCAAACAGCCCAUUUACCCCUGAAAGGCACCCGCACUCCAGCAGUGACCCUGUCCCCUGCCCAGCCCCAUCACCUGCCCACUCCAAGGUCCCCCACAGGUCACCUGCAGUCCCCAGAACAUGUGGCCGACACUGGUGUCUCUGAGGUUGGCCUCUCUGCCUCCACUCUCCGGAUGGCCUGCUGUGGAUAAGUCCUGCCCACGGAGUCCACACUAUGUGACCCUCUGUGUCGGCUUCUCUCACCGAGCCCCAGGUCUCAAGGUCUGUCCCACUUGCAGCACGUGUUAGAGCUGCAGUCCUUUUCAGGGCUGAGUAAUAUUCCAUCAUGUGAUGGACUCAUCCUGUUCCCCAUUCCUCCUCAGUGGACAACUGGGUCACUUCUCCCUUCUGACCCUGGUGCAUGGUGCUGCUGUGAAUGUUCACACACAAGUUUUCAUUCCAGCGUUUGUUUCUGGGUCUUCAUGGACGUACCUAGGCUGCAGGUGCUGGUGGAGUGGGAACUCCCUGCGUAACCCCGAGAGGCCCCUGGGCACUGUCCCUGCACGGGGGCUCCACGCUGCCCUCCCACAUACACAUGCUAAGAGUGAUGUAGAACGUUGAGUCCCCGACUCCACAGGGCUCAGCACAGAGCUCCUGGAGGUCCCCACACAGGUGGCCUGCAGGUGCACACGGCUCUGCUUGCCAGCUGCCGGGAGUCUCUGUCCUGGGGUCCCCGUGGUCAUGUGGCAGAGUGCAGCUUGUGCUGUGGGCAGGGCCGGGCAGUGCUGUGACCAGGAAGGGCUGUCCUGGGGCUCAAGCCUCCAUCUGGGAGUGAGGCCCGUGUGGAGUUGGUCCUGGCCGAGUGGUCAGUCCUGGAGAGGGGCAGCUGGCCUGGGAAGAGGAAGAGACCUGGCCUCAGGUGCAGCCCCUGAUACAGGGUGCUGAGGGGCCAGGCGGGGACCUUGGGGAGGCCAAGCAGGGGCCCAGGAAGUGGGUGUCCUCCUGCUGACCACCACUGUCUGCUCAGGGGCUGGGAGGCCAGGAGGCAACUGUGUGGGAGACCAACUUUGCAUGUGACUGAGUCACACUCCCCGGCUGGGUGCUGAGGCGCUCAGUCACAGAAACGUGGCAGAGCUUUCCCCACCUUCUUGGGUUCGAGGGUCGGUGAUCGGGCAUGGUGUGUCCUGCUACAGCCCAUGGGUGGAGCUACGCUCACCUGUUCCUUUGCAAUAUAACCCCUUGCCCUGUUUAGGGUAGAAUCUUCCAUGGAAGUGCCUCGUGUGUGUCCCCUCCUCUUACUGCGCCCUUGGGUGUGGCCUACCCAGGUGUCAGUCAACCUGCUGACAGUGGACAUCAUGAAGAUAGACUCAGCCCCCUGAAACCUGACCCCUUGCCUCUUUUGAAUAGCUUCUCCUCAAUAAAAGGGGUUAGCGCA
rnacentral:lncRNA from 1 species